GCCUGACCGUUUCGUCUGCUGUGCAGAAGCUUUUGGGUUUGAUGUGACCCCAGUCGUCUGCUUCUGCUUCUCUUGUCUUGCUUUUGAAGUCUGCCCCAUAGAACCUCUGCGCAGGCCGACGUCCAGAAGCGUUUCAGGGCCUGGUGCAUGGCUGGAACCCUCCCAAGACUCAUUAAAUGAAUACUCUGGAAGCCACGUCUCCAGCUUCACCCAUAAGCCUGCAGCUGGCUCUGCCACUCCUGCCUCCUUCAAGCAGGCGUGGAAGGAGACCUGCAGAGCCAGGCCCCGCCACAGCAGAGGCUCACCCCAUGGCGGGUGACAUGCCAAGGGACAGGGAGGCCUCUUCCAAGGAUAUUCUCUGCCAGGCUGCCACCCCACCGGGCCCAGACCCGCCGUCCUGCAGGACGCCGCUGGCAUACAAAGCUGGAACUCGGCCUCCCUGGAGCCGGGACCAGGGGAUUCCAGAAAGUCCCGCUCGCCUAGUUGGAGAUAAAAGUAAUUCCACACCCGAUUCCUGCCAGCCGUUUUAAUAAAUAAGUAAACGCUACAAAGCCUCGGGGAGCCCUCUACCCAUUCGCUGGGGUGAAGGAGAGACGAGAAUAGUUGCCCGGAUCUGCUGCCAGCUGCCGGGCCCGUUUCUGGAAAGCCCAGCACCAAGGCGGCUUGUGCUGCUGCCAUGAGUCUCAGCGCAUGUCCGGGCGGAGAAGUCCGGAAGGGAGGAGCGGCCUGUGGCUGGAGCUGCUGCUGUUCCUGGGCUCAGUGGGCUGCCCUGGCCUCUAGGCCCGCCCAGGGCCUCCACAGAAACCACCGACCCUGGGGCAGCUCAGGAGGCCCUUGUCCAUGGGGAAGCCCCAGGAGCACAUGCAAGACAACAUUUAACAAGGGACACGCCAGGCCGGGCGCCGUGGCUCACGCCUGUAAUCCCAGCACUUUAGGAGACCGAGGCGGGUGGAUCACAAGGUCAGGAGUUCGAGACCAGAUUGGCCAAACAUGGUGAAAGUCCGUCUCUACUAAAAAUACAAAAAUUAGCCAGGCACAGUGGCACGUGCCUGAAGUCCCGGCUACUCGGGAGGCUGAGUGAGGAGAAUCACUUGAAUCCCAGAGGUGGAAGCUGCAGUGAGCUGAGAUAGUGCCACUGCACUCCAGCCUGGGAGACAGAGUGAGACUCCGUCUCAAAAAGAAAAGAAAAAAAAAAGGGAUACAUCAGACUCUACGGGCCCCCUGUGCCCGCACCAGCACAAGCCCCUGAGACAGCCUCCAUGACAGUUCCCCAAAUAAACAGUCAUCAAUCUACGGGGCUCUCCACACCCCAGUGCUCACUCCAGCCACCUGAUCAGAUCCCAGCCCUCUUUGUCCAUCUCCUCCCUGAACACUGGGGCUGGACCGUCACUGACAGUGCCCUGGGCGACAGGUGGCAAUCUAUAGAGGUCAUUAACUCCAGAGCGCCACAUUUUAAUGUGAAAAUGAGCCCUUCUACAUUGGCGCAGAUGUGAUGCUAUAUAAAGAAAUGGGGAUUUUAAUGUUUUGCUUUUCUUCCCUUUUCUAGUGCCGCAUUAUCAUAACAUUUUCCCAUAAUUACGCCCAUAAAAGUCACCUGAAAAUACUUCAUGCCACAAAAGUUGAUCUACGUAUUUCAUUCCAAGCAUGUCGCAUGGCAGAUCCUGAGCUCAGAACUCUGGGGCAAAACUUAGCUGGGGGCAGAGAACAGAGCCACAGAGCAGAGCCCCCUUCUUGGGUUCAAGUGUCCUCUGGCCUCAGGGAGGUCCAGCAGAAUGAGUGCAGGUGGGAGUGGGACGCCAGUGUGGACCGUGGAAGAGCGCAGACCCCCUUCUGGUUCUAUCUCAGUGAAAGAGCAGGGGUGGGGUGUGGGGAGGGGACAGUGGGGCACCGCCAGGAUUCCCAGACAGGAGUCAAUGCUGCUCUCCAGGGCACUGUCUAGAGUGGCUCUGCUGGGAAGUCCCUUCCCCCAGGCACCCCUGCCUGGGAAAAUCCUUCGAGGGGCAAACCUGCCUCCUCCUGACUGGUCCUAGGGCAAGGAUGUCAGCUAAAAGAAAUCCUGAAGUCAGAUCAUUUAUAUUUACGGAGCCGACAGAAACAAACAACCCAUGUUUUUGUGCCCCAAAUUCAUCAAAUAAAAACACUGUAAGAAUUUUUUUUUAAAAGAAAGAUGAGAACUAAACUUCCAAACGGCAUCCCUUCAUCAAGCCCCCAGUGUUUUCCAUUCUACCUCUUCUCGAACUCCAGAACAAAAUCUGAACAGCAGGAAAGUAGCAUCUUCUAAUUGCUCAUAAAUACGCACUAAAUUGUAUUUACAAAGGAAACGCAACGCCAGAGUGCGUACGCUCGGUUAGGAUUCUAAUGGAUUAAAACAACCCCAAAGUUGUCUGUAAUUUCUUCUCAUAGCUGUAGCUGCAGACGUGACGUUGAACCGGAGGGACAACUCGAUGUCGACGGGAUUUACCAACAGGGCCCGUGGAAUCUAGGCUGGCGUGCAGUGUCCUUCCCCUGGAUUUCCAUACCUCACCCAAAGAUGGAGUCAGGGAUUAGGUGUCACAGGACGCUGCGCCAGGCCACCAUCUGCUGCUCUCCCUUGCUGCUGUUCCAUCCUAUAUCCCAGGGAGGGGGGGAAGAUCACACCUCGGUGGCGGGCACAGAACGCCCUCAACCAGCUCUAGUUGGGUCAAGAGGUCCCAUUCCACACCCAGGUAGACAGAUCUGUCUACUCCGAAUAGGCUACGGGGAAAACAACCUAUACCAACUCUGUAAGUCACGCCCAGGGGGGCUUCCUCAGACCACACAGGGCAACUCGUUCCCAAGCAUCCAGCUCCCACGAGCAGCCCCGGCCGCGGAGGAAAGCAAGGCUGCUGUCACCGUGAUGGACGCAGACCACCGAGCAUGCAUGUCAAAGUGAGCCAUGCAGGGCCCCUUCCCGUUUGCGUCUCCCGGCAAUUCUUCCCCAGGAGGAGAAAAUGACAAGGCUGUGUCACUAUAGCAACUAGCCGAACUGGUGGCCUGCAGGUCUUUCUCCAGCCAGACGGUGGCGCCCGUCUCCUUCCAUUCGGAUCCCAGCACCCGGGAAAGAAAGGCCGGACUCCCGCUGGACCGGGAACAGCAGAGUCGCCCCAACAGAAAACCAGGCCAAGAAAGAAUCCGCUUUUCUCUUAGCUGCGCCAGGAAGCCAACACCUUGUGUGCUUCAGAGAAACACACAGAUUUAAUAGGCAGGAUAAUUGAACCCUGUAUGACACUUAUCCGUUUCCCUAAUUAAUAUGAUUCAAAUAUAUCUGCUUCAUAACACGAAGACAUUUUGAGUAAUAAAAAUCCUUACUGAUAACAAAAACAAUUUAUAAACAAGGAUACGAACGAUUCCUCUUCAUCCCAGAUAGACUGGAAGAAUGAAAAUCAUAGGAACGGUUUAAUCAGCAUUUAAUUUGCUUUAUGGGUUCUAAGAAAACGGGGGGGGGGGGCAUUUUUUUCUCUAGGACUGCAGUUCCGAGCUAUAAAUUAUUAUUAUGUCUAUUUUGUAUUUUAGUGAAAUGUUUCAAUUUCUCCAAGUACAUUUCUGGUGUGAUGGGG